UUCUCUCCCUUCUCACUUCUCAACUUCUUUACAACCCAACAACCUCCCAACCUCUCUUCUUUGCUGUUACUAUCUCACUGAUUCAACCUUUCUAUACUCAGAUUCUGGAAGGACCAACCCACAGGGACCUCAACGGCUUCCUCCCUCAGCUCCCAGCCUCCUAGGUUAAGCUAAAAACUCUGCUGUCCUGCAAAUUGCUUGAUUCCACCAACUAAAUUCUUGGCAAAAAGAUAUAGGUGCAGGUGAGGAUACACCACUCCUGGACCGGAGAUGAGUGGGUUCCAGGAUGUUCCAGUAGUAGUUGUCAUCUAUUUCCCUCAUAGAUGCUAGGGUGUUUUGUAUCCCUUUUGUUUUGCAUAGGCCGUAUGUAGGG